rnacentral:rRNA from 1 species
UACAGAGGGGGCAAGCGUUGUUCGGAAUUACUGGGCGUAAAGGGCGCGUAGGCGGCCUUCUAAGUCGAACGUGAAAUCCCCCGGGCUCAACCCGGAAACUGCGUCCGAUACUGGAAGGCUUGAAUCCGGGAGAGGGAUGCGGAAUUCCAGGUGUAGCGGUGAAAUGCGUAGAUAUCUGGAGGAACACCGGUGGCGAAGGCGGCAUCCUGGACCGGUAUUGACGCUGAGGCGCGAAAGCCAGGGGAGCAAACGGG